UGUGUGUGCUGGAGGCUGCGGGUCCGUGCGGCCACAGCUGCUCUUGCUCGCCCUCUGACGGCACAGCCUGAGAUUCUCCUCCUGGCUCGGAUAAAGCCCGGCUUUGCCUCCCCUUUCCACGCCGGGGCUGAAGCCCGUGGAAAACGCAAGGAUUGUUUCACUUUGGUGGGUCUUAGGAGACAAAGCCCUGGACCUGUAGGAUGAAAGGAUACUUAGGAUGUACAGAAGGGACAGGAUGUAGCGAAUUAAGGGCCAGGGAGGACAACCUUGUCUGGUAUAUCUUUGUUGCUGAGGAGACCUCCCAGCACAGGAGGGAAUGGAACAUGUAUUACAGUACUUCAGGA
rnacentral:lncRNA from 12 species